GAUGAACGCUGGCGGCGUGCCUAAUACAUGCAAGUCGAGCGAACGGACGAGAAGCUUGCUUCUCUGAUGUUAGCGGCGGACGGGUGAGUAACACGUGGAUAACCUACCUAUAAGACUGGGAUAACUUCGGGAAACCGGAGCUAAUACCGGAUAAUAUUUUGAACCGCAUGGUUCAAAAGUGAAAGACGGUCUUGCUGUCACUUAUAGAUGGAUCCGCGCUGCAUUAGCUAGUUGGUAAGGUAACGGCUUACCAAGGCAACGAUGCAUAGCCGACCUGAGAGGGGGAUCGGCCACACGGGAACGGAGACACGGUCCAGACUCCUACGGGAGGCAGCAGUAGGGAAUCGUCCGCAGUGGGCGAAAGCCUGACGGAGCAACGCCGCGUGAGUGAUGAAGGUCUUCGGAGCGUAAAACUCUGUUAUUAGGGAAGAACAUAUGUGGAAGUAACUGUGCACAUCGUGACGGUACCUAAUCAGAAAGCCACGGCUAACUACGUG
rnacentral:rRNA from 1 species